ACGAACGCUGGCGGCACGCUUAACACAUGCAAGUCGAACGAGAGAAGAGAAGCUUGCUUUUCUGAUCUAGUGGCGGACGGGUGAGUAACACGUGAGCAAUCUGCCUUUCAGAGGGGGAUACCGAUUGGAAACGAUCGUUAAUACCGCAUAACAUAAUUGAACCGCAUGAUUUGAUUAUCAAAGAUUUAUCGCUGAAAGAUGAGCUCGCGUCUGAUUAGCUAGUUGGUAAGGUAACGGCUUACCAAGGCGACGAUCAGUAGCCGGACUGAGAGGUUGAUCGGCCACAUUGGGACUGAGACACGGCCCAGACUCCUACGGGAGGCAGCAGUGGGGAAUAUUGCACAAUGGAGGAAACUCUGAUGCAGCGAUGCCGCGUGAGGGAAGAAGGUUUUAGGAUUGUAAACCUCUGUCUUCAGGGACGAAAAAAGACGGUACCUGAGGAGGAAGCUCCGGCUAACUACGUGCCAGCAGCCGCGGUAAUACGUAGGGAGCGAGCGUUGUCCGGAAUUACUGGGUGUAAAGGGAGCGUAGGCGGGAUCGCAAGUCAGAUGUGAAAACUAUGGGCUUAACCCAUAAACUGCAUUUGAAACUGUGGUUCUUGAGUGAAGUAGAGGUAAGCGGAAUUCCUAGUGUAGCGGUGAAAUGCGUAGAUAUUAGGAGGAACAUCAGUGGCGAAGGCGGCUUACUGGGCUUUAACUGACGCUGAGGCUCGAAAGCGUGGGGAGCAAACAGGAUUAGAUACCCUGGUAGUCCACGCCGUAAACGAUGAUUACUAGGUGUGGGGGGACUGACCCCUUCCGUGCCGCAGCAAACGCAAUAAGUAAUCCACCUGGGGAGUACGACCGCAAGGUUGAAACUCAAAGGAAUUGACGGGGGCCCGCACAAGCAGUGGAGUAUGUGGAUUAAUUCGAAGCAACGCGAAGAACCUUACCAGGUCUUGACAUCGUAUGCAUAGCUCAGAGAUGAGUGAAAUCUCUUCGGAGACAUAUAGACAGGUGGUGCAUGGUUGUCGUCGGCUCGUGUCGUGAGAUGUUGGGUUAAGUCCCGCAACGAGCGCAACCCUUACUGUUAGUUGCUACGCAAGAGCACUCUAGCAGGACUGCCGUUGACAAAACGGAGGAAGGUGGGGAUGACGUCAAAUCAUCAUGCCCCUUAUGACCUGGGCCUCACACGUACUACAAUGGCUGUCAACAGAGGGAAGCAAAGCCGCGAGGUGGAGCAAACCCCUAAAAGCAGUCUUAGUUCGGAUUGUAGGCUGCAACCCGCCUACAUGAAGUCGGAAUUGCUAGUAAUCGCAGAUCAGCAUGCUGCGGUGAAUACGUUCCCGGGCCUUGUACACACCGCCCGUCACGCCAUGGGAGUCGGUAACACCCGAAGCCUGUAGUCUAACCGCAAGGAGGACGCAGUCGAAGGUGGGAUUGAUGACUGGGGUG
rnacentral:rRNA from 1 species